rnacentral:misc_RNA from 1 species
AAGUCGUAACAAGGUUUCCGUAGGUGAACCUGCGGAAGGAUCAUUCAUAAUUGAGUGUUUUAUGGCACUCUUUAAAAAAUCCAUAUCCACCUUGUGUGCAACGUUUUUAGACACCCUGGCAUUGAUAUCUCUUUUAGGGAAGGAAAAAGCCAGGAUGUUUGAUUAACUUAACUCAACUCCUUUAAAACAGUUUGUCUGAAUAUAUAUUUCUGAAUAAACAUAAUUCAAAAAUACAACUUUCAACAACGGAUCUCUUGGCUCUC